CCUACGGGUGGCAGCAGUGAGGAAUAUUGGUCAAUGGACGAGAGUCUGAACCAGCCAAGUAGCGUGAAGGAUGACUGCCCUAUGGGUUGUAAACUUCUUUUAUAUGGGAAUAAAAUGUUCCACGUGUGGGAUUUUGUAUGUACCAUAUGAAUAAGGAUCGGCUAACUCCGUGCCAGCAGCCGCGGUAAUACGGAGGAUCCGAGCGUUAUCCGGAUUUAUUGGGUUUAAAGGGAGCGUAGGUGGAUGGUUAAGUCAGUUGUGAAAGUUUGCGGCUCAACCGUAAAAUUGCAGUUGAAACGGGCAGUCUUGAGUACAGUAGAGGUGGGCGGAAUUCGUGGUGUAGCGGUGAAAUGCUUAGAUAUCACGAAGAACUCCGAUUGCGAAGGCAGUUCACUGGACUGCAACUGACACUGAGGCUCGAAAGUGUGGGUAUCAAACAGGAUUAGAUACCCGAGUAGUC
rnacentral:rRNA from 1 species